GAAAUGCGAUACUUGGUGUGAAUUGCAGAAUUCAGUGAAUCAUCGAAUCUUUGAACGCACAUUGCGCCCCUUGGUAUUCCGAGGGGCAUGCCUGUUCGAGCGUCAUUAUAACCCUCAAGCCUAGCUUGGUGUUGGGACGUGCUGUUACCGGCAGUCCUUAAAACCAGUGGCGGUGCCAUCUGGCUCUAAGCGUAGUAAUACCUCUCGCUAUAGAGUCCCGGUGGAUGCUUGCCAUCAACCCCUAAUUUUCUAUGGUUGACCUCGGAUCAGGUAGGGAUACCCGCUGAACUUAA
rnacentral:misc_RNA from 1 species